ensembl:lncRNA
CUGAUAGCAACAAAUUCUUAGUAUUCCUUCAUUUAAGAAUGUCUUUAUUUUCUCUUCAUUUCUUAAAAAUACUUUCGUAUGUUAUCAUUUGCUCUUGACAGUUCUUUUCUUUCAGCACUGAAAAAUGUUGUUCCACUUCCUUGCAUCCGCCAUGAUUCUGGAUGAAAAAUCCUCAGUUACUCAAAUUGUUUUCCUCCUACAGGUGGGACACCUACCAAAGCAUGGCGUGCCAAGUGGUGCCAUGUCCGCACCCAGGAUCCGAACCCACGAACCCCAGGCCGCAGAGAAGUGGAACGUGGGAACUUAACCGCUGCGCCACUGGGCCAGCCCUCAGCACUUUUGAACAUGUGGCCUGUAAGAUUUCUGCAGAGACAUCCCCUGAUACCCUUAUGUGGUUUCCCUCAUAUGUGACGAUUUUCUUUCUGUCGCUGCUUUUAAAAUUCUCUUUGUCAUUGAUUUUAGAUAGUUUUAUUAUAACGUAUCUUGGAAAAGAUUGUUUUGGGUUGAUAUCUUGGGGGUACCUAUGAUCUUCGUGAACUUGGAUGUCCAAAUCUCUUUCCAGAUUUGGGAAGUUCUCAGCCAUUUUUUUAUUGAUAAGCUUUCUAUCCCUUUUUCCCUCUCUUCUUCUCCUGGGACUCCAAUAAUGUGUAGAUUGUUUCUUUUAAUAGUAUCUCUUAUAUAGGCUUUCUUCUCUCUUUUUCUUCCUUUUUUCUUUUUUCUCCUUUGGACAAUUUCAAAGAAAUUGUCUUCUACUUCACAGACUCUUUCUCCUGCUUGAUCCAGUCUACUGUUGAUGCUUCCUAUUACAUAUUUCAUUUCAUUCAUUGUAUUCUUCAGCUCCAGAAUUUCUGUUUUCUUAUGAUUUCUAUCUGUGUUAAACUUUUUAUUUUGUUCAUGUAUUGUUGUCCUGACUUCAUUGUAUUGUCUUUGUGUUUUCUUGUAGCUCACUGAGUUUCCUUAAGACAAUUAUUUUGAGUUCUUUAUUGGGAAAAUUGCAGAUCUCCAUUUCUUUAUUUUGGUUACUAGAAAAUUGUUUUGUUCAUUUAGUGGUAUCAUAUUUCUUUGGUUUUUCAUGUUUCUUGAAGUCUUACUUUGCUGUGUUUGCAUUUGAAGUGGCACUCACCUUCUCCAUUCUUUACUGACUGGCUUUGGGAGUGAAAUACCUUCCACCAGCCCUAUUUGUAAUUCUGAGCCUAUUCUCAUACCUUUUUUAUGGAUAUCCCUUCUCCACACUUCUUUUUUCCCCUUGUGGCAGAAUUCUUAAGAUUGUAUGCUUUCUCUCAAUCCUGAAAAGCCAGGCCAGGUACUGACUGUAUCCCUUUUGCUUUUUCUAAUGUAGUGCUGAAUGCUCAAGCUUGUGUAAUUUCUCCCAGGCCCACAUACUUGGGCCAGCUUUCUGCACACACUCACUAGCCAUCUGCAAAAGCCUUCUUUCACUGCCAUUGAGAGUGUGUACAGGGAUCCCACCUUGGGGUGAGAGGUGUGUGUGGGGUGAGGCACACAGAGCAUUGAAUGUGUCCAUGGGCCAGUUGGAGGAAUCUGCAGGCAAGGCAUACCCAGUGGCUCAUGAUUGGACUUCCUGAUGGAGUCUGUGAAGUGGUCAGUAAGAUCUGUAUCCCUUUGAUGACCUCUGAGGGCUCUGUCUGCUGUUCUCUCACCUGUUUUCUGCUCUCUAGUCACGUAGCACAUCUUAGUAUUCUGGAUGGGAUGAGAAAUAAGUGGGUGCAUCCCACACAGCUGGGAAAUCUGGGUGCUUACUCAUACAAUUUCACUUUACCCCAUGGAAGAAAUCACAGGCCAAGGAGGUCUCUCUGGUACUG